rnacentral:rRNA from 1 species
CAGCCGCCACGGUAAUACGUAGGGUGCGAGCGUUAAUCGGAAUUACUGGGCGUAAAGCGUGCGCAGGCGGUUAUAUAAGACAGAUGUGAAAUCCCCGGGCUCAACCUGGGAAUGGCGCUUGUGACUGCAAAGCUAGAGUGCGGCAGAGGGGGAUGGAAUUCCGCGUGUAGCAGUGAAAUGCGUAGAUAUGCGGAGGAACACCGAUGGCGAAGGCAAUCCCCUGGACCUGUACUGACGCUCAUGCACGAAAGCGUGGGGAGCAAACAGGAUUAGAUACCCGCGUAGUCCCUGUCUCUUAUAC